CUCUUAGUAGGACUUCUGGCGGGCGAGCGGGAGGCGGGCGCUUCGAAAGGAGCUGCUGCUGCUGCUGCCUCCAGCUCGGCUGGAAUUAGAACGGAGGCAGAUUUUGAGCGGGAGGACGAGGAGGGCGGCGGCGGCGGCGGCAGGUGAACGCAGCGCUGCGUAGGGCGAAGAUGCUGGAAAGGGACUGGCAGAUUCUCUGCCCAGGAGAAACAUGGGGUCUUCCCAGUAGAACCUGCCAUUUCCCCCAAAACAGCAGAAACUAAUGGAAAGAGGGCGGAGUUUAGAUAUUAUAGGGCACAGAAUAGAAAACUGCACCAACAGCAUCUAGCCAAAGACGCAGAAGUGAAGGAUUACCCAGGGAAUUGUUUCUCAUGGAUCAAUACCAUGUAAAAUUCACUCAGGAGCCAUAUACAACAAUACUUAUGGGAAAUGCACAUAUAUGUGGGAGCAGAAUAGUGGAUAGAGAUUUUGCAAGUAACUCUAGCUCUGCUGGCUGUGGGAAUACUGAGAUGCCAAUGGAUAGUGCGUCAAGACAGCCCCAAAUUAUUUUGGCCGCAUCAAGUUUAAAUGUCUGCGCUUGAGGCUUCUGGAGUGCUGGGUAACAAGACUCCAAAAUGUGACUCCAUGAUGCAAUUCCAGGGUGCACAUUAAGCAGAGGUCUGCUUGGAUUCUUUGGAGAAAGCCCUUCCUUAAGGGUCCUAUAGAAUCCAGAAAGGGAUGUCACAGGACAGCAAAGCUGUUCCGCUGUUCUUUUAAUUUUUGCUACCUUUUAGGGGUCUUCUCUUUAUUUCUACCAUCUUGCCAAAUAUCCUUUCUUACAUCAAAUUUUCCUUUCACAACUCAAGAGGUUGCAUUACCCCACAGCACUUUUGGCCCAGGGAUUCUCCAUGGUGACUGACUGGACAACUUCCAAUACAGCCUACACCUGCCUUUUUGAUCAGCUCCAUUGAGAAAUGCAUGGUGAAGUCUGUGUAGCAACAACCUUCAUGUUGGGAAGAGAAAAGGGCAUCAAGGAAGGGUUCAGACAAUGGUUAUUUCUUCUCAGAGGCUCAUCUUCUUACCGGAUGCAUCAUUUGCCCCACUG